UUGUUAUUCGUCAAUAUUAUUUUCGUUUACGAGAACACAUUUUUUUUUUUAAACUAAUAAUUUUUAUUUAUGAUAUUAAUACAGAAGAGAUUUUUGAGAUAUUUUGCCAUUUUAUUGGGAACCAUUUAUAGAUAACUGCGGGGAAAUUUACGUAUAAAUAACACAGCUGCAUCCCGGUACAUUCAAAACGUACAAAUACAGCUAAAUGAUAAUGCCGCUGACACAACGAAAGCAUUUUAAACCUAUGUUAACACAGAACAUUUCGUAAUAAUACGUAAGUAAAGACACAGUUCGUAUAAUUAUCACCAGAUGGCAUUAGCGUCUAAAGGGUGACACGUUGACAUUCUUGACUUAUUAUACAGAUAAUUUCUAAUGUAAAGUCACGUCUAUGGAAUAUAUAUAGGCCCUCCAUGAUUAAGAUACAGAAAAAGGUGGACUUAUCGAACCUCUUCUGUCUGCAUCUGGAGUGGAUUGAAUCGAAUUGAUGGAAUAAGGCAACGCAAUACGUGAAAGAUCUGCCAAAAGGGUGAGCUUCUCGGUGGACGUUUUAUGGGAAGGUCCCUAUUUAGGCGAUAAACACGUGAUAUGGGAAAUUAUCUCCUACAACUCCUAGACAAAAAUCCUGUUAUCCGAUUUUUUGUCAUUUUAUUUCCAUUUGUUUGAGUUAAUUUGCCUGAUUAAUUGGUAUAAUAAAUAUACAUAGACAGUGUUUAUGUAGUGUUAAAAAAGUUUUGUACUCUAUGUUAUUCGUGAGAAAAUGUACACUAAACUUUCAGUUAAGUAAAUUUUUAUCUAUGAGUUGUA